UACAGAGGUCUCAAGCGUUGUUCGGAUUCAUUGGGCGUAAAGGGUGCGUAGGUGGCGCCAUAAGUCAGGUGUGAAAUCUCGGGGCUCAACCCCGAAACUGCACUUGAUACUGUGGUGCUGGAGUACUGGAGAGGAGAUUGGGAUUUACGGUGUAGCAGUGAAAUGCGUAGAUAUCGUAAGGAAGACCAGUGGCGAAGGCGAAUCUCUGGACAGUUACUGACACUGAGGCACGAAGGCCAGGGGAGCAAACGGG
rnacentral:rRNA from 1 species